rnacentral:rRNA from 1 species
AUUGAACGCUGGCGGCAGGCUUAACACAUGCAAGUCGAGCGGGGGAAGGUAGCUUGCUACCGGACCUAGCGGCGGACGGGUGAGUAAUGGUUAGGAAUCUGCCUAUUAGUGGGGGACAACAUCUCGAAAGGGAUGCUAAUACCGCAUACGUCCUACGGGAGAAAGCAGGGGAUCGUCGGACCUUGCGCUAAUAGAUGAGCCUAAGUCGGAUUAGCUAGUUGGUGGGGUAAAGGCCUACCAAGGCGACGAUCUGGAGCGGGUCUGAGAGGAUGGUCCGCCCCACUGGGACUGAGACACGGCCCAGACUCCUACGGGAGGCAGCAGUGGGGAAUAUUGGACAAUGGGGGGAACCCUGAUCCAGCCAUGCCGCGUGUGUGAAGAAGGCCUUAUGGUUGUAAAGCACUUUAAGCGAGGAGGAGGCUACUCUAGUUAAUACCUAGGGAUAGUGGACGUUACUCGCAGAAUAAGCACCGGCUAACUCUGUGCCAGCAGCCGCCGUAA